rnacentral:rRNA from 1 species
UACAGAGGUGGCAAGCGUUGUUCGGAAUUACUGGGCGUAAAGGGCGCGUAGGCGGCCCGCUAAGUCGAACGUGAAAUCCCCGAGCUCAACUCGGGAACUGCGUCCGAUACUGGUGGGCUUGAAUCCGGGAGAGGGAUGCGGAAUUCCAGGUGUAGCGGUGAAAUGCGUAGAUAUCUGGAGGAACACCGGUGGCGAAGGCGGCAUCCUGGACCGGCAUUGACGCUGAGGCGCGAAAGCUAGGGGAGCAAACGGG